rnacentral:rRNA from 1 species
CCUACGGGAGGCAGCAGUGGGGAAUUUUGCGCAAUGGGGGAAACCCUGACGCAGCGACGCCGCGUGGAGGAUGAAGGUCUUCGGAUUGUAAACUCCUUUUGUCGGGGAAGAUAAUGACGGUACCCGAUGAAUAAGCCACGGCUAACUCUGUGCCAGCAGCCGCGGUAAGACAGAGGUGGCAAGCGUUGUUCGGAAUUACUGGGCUUAAAGGGCGCGUAGGCGGUGGAGUAAGUCUGAGGUGGAAGAUUAGGGCCUAACCCUAAAAUUGCCUUGGAAACUGCAUCACUUGAGUCAGCGAGGGGAUGGCGGAAUUCCAGGUGUAGCGGUGAAAUGCGUAGAUAUCUGGAGGAAGGCCGGUGGCGAAGGCGGCCAUCUGGCGCUGAACUGACGCUGAGGCGCGAAAGCGUGGGGAGCAAACAGGAUUAGAUACCCUGGUAGUCCACGCCCUAAACGGUGGGUACUAGGUGUAGGGCUCGCAAGGGUUCUGUGCCGUAGGGAAACCAUUAAGUACCCCGCCUGGGGAGUACGGCCGCAAGGUUAAAACUCAAAGGAAUUGACGG